rnacentral:rRNA from 1 species
CCUACGGGGUGCAGCAGUGAGGAAUAUUGGUCAAUGGGCGGGAGCCUGAACCAGCCAAGUCGCGUGAAGGAUGACAGCCCUAUGGGUUUUAAACCUCUUUUAUCAGGGAACAAAGUGCCCCACGUGUGGGGUUUUGAAUGUACCUUAAGAAUAAGCAUCGGCUAACUCCGUGCCAGCAGCCGCGGUAAUACGGAGGAUGCGAGCGUUAUCCGGAUUUAUUGGGUUUAAAGGGUGCGUAGGCGGUUUCGUAAGUCAGCGGUAAAAUCGUGGGGCUCAACCGUACCGUGCCGUUGAAACUGAGGAACUUGAGUGUGCGCAGAGUACGUGGAAUGCGUGGUGUAGCGGUGAAAUGCAUAGAUAUCACGAAGAACUCCGAUCGCGAAGGCAUUAUACCGGCGCAAGACUGACGCUGAGGCACGAAAGUGCGGGUAUCGAACAGGAUUAGAUACCCCGGUAGUC